rnacentral:misc_RNA from 1 species
GCCCCCACUCCAUUUUUACUCCUAUCGUAACAGCUACGCACCAUACACCCACAUAUAUUGUCUACUAAUACACAACCAAUUAAUGUUUGAAACUUUGAAUGUAAACUCUUUCCAAAUUCUCAAAGCACCGUCCUUCCUUCUAUCAACAUAGGGGUGGCAACUAAAUAGCUAUUAAACAAAUCAAAACAAACCAAUCAAUAGCUGCUGCCACCACCACAGCACCACCACUAAUUUAUCACCAAAGAUAAGGUUUGAUUUGGGUUAAAUUGGCAUGGGCACCCAUAAUAUUUUAAAUGGAUAAUAAAUUGCUUAUAUUAGUCCUUUACAACCUAACCCAUAACCACCUAAAACCCACUCAUAUGCCACCUCUGCAUCCAGAUACACCACCUAAGUACU